GAUGAACGCUGGCGGCGUGCCUAAUACAUGCAAGUCGAGCGAACGGACGAGAAGCUUGCUUUUCUGAUGUUAGCGGCGGACGGGUGAGUAACACGUGGAUAACCUACCUAUAAGACUGGGAUAACUUCGGGAAACCGGAGCUAAUAACGGAUAAUAUUUUGAAUUGCAUGGUUAAAAAGUGAAAGAAGGUAGGGUGGAUAGUUAGAGAGGUAUCCGUGCUGCAUUAGCUAGUUGGUAAGGUAAGGGCUUACCAAGGCAACGAUGUAUAGCCGACCUGAGAGGGUGAUCGGCCACACUGGAACUGAGACACGGUCCAGACUCCUACGGGAGGCAGCAGUAGAGAAUCUUCCACACUAGUCAAAAACCUAACAUAACAACACCACGUUAGGCAUGAAGGUCUUCGGAUCGUAAAACUCUGUUAUUAGGGAAGAACAUAUUUUUCAUUAACUCUGCCCAUCUUAACAUUCCCUCAUCAGAAAGCCACGGCUAACUACCUG
rnacentral:rRNA from 1 species